rnacentral:piRNA from 1 species
UAAACUGUUGCCAAGACCUUGAACUGUUGUA